rnacentral:lncRNA from 1 species
UUUGAAAUCAGUUUUAUUUAAUUAUUUACAAAAAAUGUUCACAUCCUGAUAUGUAUUUGUUGUUUCAUUAAAACGUAGAUGGUGGUAUCUGUGGGAGGUGGACCAUUCGAUGAACUAUUCCAUGGUGGAAACAUUCCGGCGUUUGUGCUAGGAGCAAUUGCGGCCGCGGUGAGUGGCAUAUUGGCUUUAACCGUGUUGCCUUCGCCGCCACCGGAUGCUCCAGCUUUCAAAACUGGGGCUAUGGGAUUUCAUUAAAGUUUUAGCAGUGUUUCAGUGGCUAUGUAACUCUCAUAAAACUGUAGUGUUAUUGUGCAAAUCCUACAUAAAGAGAAAAAAGGAAAUUCAUCUUCUUGGGUUGUUGGUUUAUAUUGUACCUAAACCCAUUGUGUUCCUUUUUUGUAACUGAAAUUUUCAAUUUGGAGUAUAUUUCACCUUUUGCCACCUUCAAGGCUUCAUUAUUACUACUUCAUUGUUUUGGAUCUUUCAGUCAUAUCUCACACAAGAAGAAUUGUAUUGUUUUUUUUGUUUCAUAAUAAAACUUAAAAUGUAAUAAUUAAUCUAGAAGAAUAAUUAUUUUUGAUGGUUUUCUUUUUUUUGUCAAGUGUAUUAGAAAUUUAGAACCGAGUUGAGUUAUACAUGUAAUUAAUAAAUACUUUUUAAAAUUCCAAAAAUGCAUUAUGUUACCUUACUCGUAGUUAUAAAUAAGCCUCUUUAGCUAUUACAUCGGCUUCACGUACAAUUUUCCUCACAAAUACAAAAGCUAAAAUCAGGAUGAGCUAGGCUGAUACUAUCUUUGGUGAGUAUAGCUACAGACUGGUUCUUUCAACCGUAAGAUAUAUCCUGAUGAAGAAAUUGUCUCCUACAACAGAUCAAACACACACAAGUUUAGUACAUUAAUUCUUCACGAGCUCCUGAUCUGCAGAUCUGAAUUUAAUAUUCGGAUUAUAAAACCUAUAACUAGUGUCUUAUUAAUAACGUUAGUCAGGUGUAGACCACCAUCAGUUCAGGACGCAAUCUGAUUGUAAAGCUGAUUUAUUGUUGCAAUAUAGUUUUCACAUUACAAAAAAAAAAGCACAAAAUGAUGAAUAUACACUUUUAUGUUUAGAGCAAUAAAAAUAAAUAAAAUAUGCAGAUUAAAAUUCUAAUAAAGAGAAAGAGAGAGAGUCCGGGCGGGGUAAACCCGGAAACCCGAAGAGUAACGCGGGUGGGCCUUAUCUUCAUCUUCCUCACCACACACACAACAAACACGCACACUCGUGGAUUUCAAACUUUGAGAGUAAUCUCAUCGGGACCUUUAUGAUCUCAUCGAACAUGCUUCUCCAUACGCUAUCGUCAUCGUCUCCACCCAUUCACCGCCUCUACCUCCACCAUUCUCAGAUUCUCCCUUCUUCUUCCUCUGUGUCUCUCAAGUUCCAUCCCAAAACGAUUUCUUUACAGGUAAACACUCCAACUUUCUCUCAAAGAAUCUGACUUUAUUGCAAUAUUAGAGAAUUCAAUUGGCUAAUCUUCCUCCAUGUUCUUUAAACGUGUGGAUGAAGGCAGAUACAUGGAAGGACUUUAGCUAUACGAUCUGCAGAACUUGCUGCUAGAGGGCUACCUUCUUUGAAGAAGCUGCCAAGCAAAGGAUCUACCUUUCUGCUGGGACAGAGCUUGUUGAUGGUCUCUGCUUAUCCAAACAUGGCAUCAGCGUCAGAGAGCGUGAAGCAUGAACCGGUUUACGAAGUUGGAGAGUUGUUUGAAUUAGGUAUUCAGCUUUCUUACUUGCUGUUGCUACUGGGUUUGCUCGGAGUUGGUACUUUCUAUGUGAUUCGUCAAGUACUUGUCCGCAGAGAGCUUGACCUCUCUGCCAAAGAGCUACAGGUAUUGAUUCUGAUCCCAAGUAUUAACCUUUGUGUUAGAAAUAGAAAAUUAGAUGAAAGGCCAGUAGAGAACUGAUGAAAUAAUAUUUGAUGUCUCUGAAUGUUUUUAGCAAACCAAUGUUAUUAGACUGAUUCAAGUAAGUAGCCAUGCUUAGACAGACUUUAAAACAUCUGAUCAAAACUGUUUUAUAUGGUUUUUGUGUUUGUCUGAAUAAUCUGAAGGAGCAAGUUAGGAGCGGGGAUGCAAGUGCAACAGAGCUCUUUGAGCUGGGUGCAGUGAUGCUGAGACGCAAAUUUUAUCCUGCAGCCAACAAGUUCUUGCUUCAAGCUAUCCAGAAAUGGGACGGUGACGAUCAAGAUCUUGCUCAGGUAAUAAUACAAAUUAAUUUACACACACAAGCACACACUGUUUCCAUCAAGUACAAAUGAUGAGUACAAUUCUCGAGACAGGUCUAUAACGCUCUUGGAGUGAGUUAUGUCCGAGAGGACAAACUGGACAAAGGAAUCGCUCAGUUUGAAAUGGCGGUGAAAAUUCAGCCUGGUUAUGUAACGGCUUGGAACAACCUUGGAGAUGCUUAUGAGAAGAAGAAGGAGCUGCCUUUGGCGUUGAAAGCGUUUGAAGAGGUUUUGUUGUUUGAUCCUAACAAUAAGGUGGCUCGGCCUCGCCGAGAUGCGUUGAAGGAUCGUGUUAAACUCUAUAAAGGCGUUGUGGCGGUCAAGUCCAAGAAACGGUGACGAAAAACCGAUAAACCAAGAACUCCCCCUCGUCUCUCUUAUGUUAUUUUUGUAAGGACAUUUUGUGUUAUUAUUAUGAAUAUGAAACUUGUUUACUGUUUUUACUCUUAACAAUAAAUCACUCAUCUUAUUAUUCAGAUAUCGAUACAAUGUUUAUAAAUAAUGAUAACAUGAUGAGAAAUAAGGUCACGCAAGAUACUAAAGAAGCAACAACGUAAAUAGAAGAUGUUCAGUGCAUGUAACAUAGAGGUUUUUGUUGUCUCAAGGACACUUGAGCUUAUUGCCGUGAGUACGGAGAUUAGCGUAGCAAGGACAUGAUGCUGUGUUGCCUGAGGUUCCGGGCGGCACGCACUGGCACUUGGCACAGCAACUUCCACAAGCUCUGUAACACACUUUCUUCCUCGACGUCUCUCUGCAUCUCCUCGCGCACGCAUACCCACAAUCUGCAAAUAUUUGGCUCAUACAUUAAUCAAAAAGUUGUUUGGCAAAAUAAAAGAAGAAGACUUAGAAUGUUACUAACUGAAUGGUGGACGAUGAUGGUAUGUUCUCUUAAACGCCUCCACUUGGUUCUCCUCGUUCGUCUGAAUCUAUAAGCAACACAAGAAACCGAGUUUAUUUGAUAUGGAAAGCUUGUUUUAAUAUGUUUUUAUUAUUUUUAUUUACCUGAGAAGCAGAGGAAGUUUCAGCGUUGCUGGACGAAGAUAGAUCUGCAAGUACCUGUGAAAGAAUCAGACAAGAACGUCUCAGUGUUUUUAGUUAGUAUGUUUGCAACAAAGAGAAGCUAAAUCUUGAACAAUGUUUUGAUCAUUUUUACCUGAGAAAGCAGAAGAAGAGAGAUGAGCAUAACAAAGGCCACCACUUUCAUCUUCUCCAUCUUGUCGGUUUUGAAGUAGUUUGUGAAAAUAGAAGCUGUGGAUGGUUCUUUAUAUAGACACAAUGUAGCUAUUUUGUCUUCUUCCUCUUUUCUUUUGUUGAGUGAAAAAAAAACCUCAUGUUGAUAGGUAUCACAUGCAAUAGGCUUUCAUCGCUGGACUAGACAUAAAUCACAGAUAUUAGAUUGAGUUUUGCUGUAAAGUGUUGGUGUUUGAUGCAACAGUUUUGAUUGGUCUUUGAGGAUAUAUCUAAUUUAUUACGCAAGGACGAAGAAGAAAAUUCAAACCUUGUUCACUGAAAUCUAAAUCAAGCUUAAAUACAUGAAAUGAGUGUAAAUUUACAGUAAAAAUAUAUAGGCUGGUUUUAACAAGGUACUGUAAUGUGUGUGACUUCACUGACUUGUCGACACACGUAUGGAGAGACAAGUGUACUUAAAGUGUAUAAAGAAAGAGGCAAUUAGGUAGUUUGAAAAUUAAUGUCUUAAUGAUAUCUUUGCCAUAAGAGUGUUAUAACAGCUGUCUCUUAGUUCAGACAUAGAACAGCUGAGAGAGAUAGAUGAAGAAAAACGCAUGCAGACGCAAUGUUGUUCGAAAAAGCAGAUGGCAAUGUUUGGCUCCGAUUGGUGAAAACGUAAUAUUAUUACUGUCUUCUAUAAACCACAUUCAAAAUUUCCAAACGCGCAUGAUGAGACUUUAAACGGAGAACGAAACCGAAUAACUACUUAGGCCACGAUUGUUUAUUUGCAUAAUUGCGUCUGUGUUGGUGUUUUCAUGUUAUAGGGAUCAAUAUGUAAGUUCAAACGCAAAGCUUUAUAUAAAUUUAUAUAGUUGAUAGGUUAUAUGCAUUUAAUACGGACAGAUUCGCAAGUUAAUAACUUAUUGAGAUGACUUAAUAUGAUUUUUACAAGUCAUCUCAAUUUUUUUUUAAACACUUAUUGAGAUGAUUUUACAAGUCACCGAUAUUAAUACAUGGGGUUUCAUCGACCAUACGGAAUAUGCAAUAAUAAUUUGAAACUAAAGAUUUGUAUGUUUCGUCUCAACAGGACUUUCUCUAGGUGUUCUGAAUCUGGCUAUUGUCGUCCCACAGGUAAAGAAAACGUUUGAAAUCAGUUUUAUUUAAUUAUUUACAAAAAAUGUUCACAUCCUGAUAUGUAUUUGUUGUUUCAUUAAAACGUAGAUGGUGGUAUCUGUGGGAGGUGGACCAUUCGAUGAACUAUUCCAUGGUGGAAACAUUCCGGCGUUUGUGCUAGGAGCAAUUGCGGCCGCGGUGAGUGGCAUAUUGGCUUUAACCGUGUUGCCUUCGCCGCCACCGGAUGCUCCAGCUUUCAAAACUGGGGCUAUGGGAUUUCAUUAAAGUUUUAGCAGUGUUUCAGUGGCUAUGUAACUCUCAUAAAACUGUAGUGUUAUUGUGCAAAUCCUACAUAAAGAGAAAAAAGGAAAUUCAUCUUCUUGGGUUGUUGGUUUAUAUUGUACCUAAACCCAUUGUGUUCCUUUUUUGUAACUGAAAUUUUCAAUUUGGAGUAUAUUUCACCUUUUGCCACCUUCAAGGCUUCAUUAUUACUACUUCAUUGUUUUGGAUCUUUCAGUCAUAUCUCACACAAGAAGAAUUGUAUUGUUUUUUUUGUUUCAUAAUAAAACUUAAAAUGUAAUAAUUAAUCUAGAAGAAUAAUUAUUUUUGAUGGUUUUCUUUUUUUUGUCAAGUGUAUUAGAAAUUUAGAACCGAGUUGAGUUAUACAUGUAAUUAAUAAAUACUUUUUAAAAUUCC